GGUCGUUUAGCUCAGUGGUUAGAGCGUCUGCUUUACAUUAUCGCAAGGUAAUCUUCGCAGAAGGUCGCAGGUUCGACCCCUGCAACGAUCA